rnacentral:misc_RNA from 1 species
UGUGGGAGCGAGCUUGCUCGCGAUGGGGCCCUGUCAGUCGGCAUUGAUAUUGACUGAUAUACCGCUAUCGCGAGCAAGCUCGCUCCCACA